CAGACAAAUGCACUAGGUGAUAAUUUGACCAAUCCUUGAAUUCAGGUGAAAUCUUACACUCCUAUAGCCGGGGAAAUCUAAUUCCAAAACAUAGUCAGUUGUUUUCUGUGCCUUGCUCAAUGCUUGCUUUAUCCUGAUUAUCCAUGUUCAUUAAAGCUCUAGCCUCUGCAGCCGUUCUCCCUAUCACUUGUUUGUUGGAAGUUGCAAUUCUAUUCACAGGAGAAUGGUCUUAGCCCAUUCAAAGAUGCAGCCUGAGGAUUGCAGCUGCAGAACCUCUAUGCCCAUUUCAUUGCCCUGUAUUUAAGAGCGAUUCUUCUACAGCAUCACAUAGCAAAAUCAUCAGCACUAGCUCAGCUCCACACUGUGGCAAUUCAGCUCUACACAGCUGCAAUUCUCCUCGCUGCCUGAACUCUCCAUCUACAGACAAACACGCCUCUUAUUAGAAUCCACAAAAUAUGGCAUGGAC